CAGAAAAGGAUUACAUUACAAGUCUUAUGCAUUUUAACCAUUUUUUAAGAGGUGGGGGUAGGGGAGGGGAGGUCAUGAAAGCCAGAUGGAGUUGCUGACUUGGUGAAAGCAGCAUUUCAACAAGAUUACUCUGGGAAUGGCAUGCAAAACAGACUGGUGAGUGAUAGGAGUGGAGGAGAUGAAAAAACUCCUAUAGGGAGUGAACAGGAUGGCCACAAAGAAAAUGGAGAGACUGUGAAGGAUCAGACAUCCAAGGAAGUAAGAAAUGAGAGAUUCAUUCUAGAGGCUGAAAGGCAAGAACACUCCUCCAGCACAAUCUCAAGAACAUCAUUAUGAGAAGAGGUCCAUGGGCUUCCCCAGACCACCAAAGGGGGCUGCAGUGCCAAAAAGGUUAAGAAUCCCUGGGCUACUGAGAAGAGAGAACCUGGCGGCGAGGGCCCAGGGCAGCCAGGAAGGGUGGAUGAUAUUUGGACAUACAGACAUACCAGGGGUGUGCACACAUGGAGGAAAGAUCCCACGAGCACACAGCGAGAAGGUGGCCAUCUGCAAGCCAAGGAGAGAGGCCUCUCCAGGAACCAAAUUGGCUGGCACCUUGAUCUGGGACUUCCAGCCUCCAGAACUGUGAGAAAAUUAAUUUCUGAUGUUUAACUUGCCCAGUCUGCAGUAUUUUGUUAUGGCAGCUCUAGUAGACAGUCCCUGAAUUAACCAACCUGGGAAUUAUCUACCUGCUGCCUUCAGUGAUAGAAUAAAUGUCCUUAUUGC
rnacentral:lncRNA from 10 species